rnacentral:rRNA from 1 species
GAGUUUGAUCCUGGCUCAGAGUGAACGCUGGCGGCGUGCCUAAUACAUGCAAGUCGAACGAUGAAGCUUCUAGCUUGCUAGAGUGCUGAUUAGUGGCGCACGGGUGAGUAACGCAUAGGUCAUGUGCCUCUUAGUUUGGGAUAGCCAUUGGAAACGAUGAUUAAUACCAGAUACUCCCUACGGGGGAAAGAUUUAUCGCUAAGAGAUCAGCCUAUGUCCUAUCAGCUUGUUGGUAAGGUAAUGGCUUACCAAGGCUAUGACGGGUAUCCGGCCUGAGAGGGUGAACGGACACACUGGAACUGAGACACGGUCCAGACUCCUACGGGAGGCAGCAGUAGGGAAUAUUGCUCAAUGGGGGAAACCCUGAAGCAGCAACGCCGCGUGGAGGAUGAAGGUUUUAGGAUUGUAAACUCCUUUUGUUAGAGAAGAUAAUGACGGUAUCUAACGAAUAAGCACCGGCUAACUCCGUGCCAGCAGCCGCGGUAAUACGGAGGGUGCAAGCGUUACUCGGAAUCACUGGGCGUAAAGAGCGCGUAGGCGGGAUAGUCAGUCAGGUGUGAAAUCCUAUGGCUUAACCAUAGAACUGCAUUUGAAACUACUAUUCUAGAGUGUGGGAGAGGUAGGUGGAAUUCUUGGUGUAGGGGUAAAAUCCGUAGAGAUCAAGAGGAAUACUCAUUGCGAAGGCGACCUGCUGGAACAUUACUGACGCUGAUUGCGCGAAAGCGUGGGGAGCAAACAGGAUUAGAUACCCUGGUAGUCCACGCCCUAAACGAUGGAUGCUAGUUGUUGGAGGGCUUAGUCUCUCCAGUAAUGCAGCUAACGCAUUAAGCAUCCCGCCUGGGGAGUACGGUCGCAAGAUUAAAACUCAAAGGAAUAGACGGGGACCCGCACAAGCGGUGGAGCAUGUGGUUUAAUUCGAGGAUACACGAAGAACCUUACCUAGGCUUGACAUUGAGAGAAUCCGCUAGAAAUAGUGGAGUGUCUAGCUUGCUAGACCUUGAAAACAGGUGCUGCACGGCUGUCGUCAGCUCGUGUCGUGAGAUGUUGGGUUAAGUCCCGCAACGAGCGCAACCCCCUUUCUUAGUUGCUAACAGGUCAUGCUGAGAACUCUAAGGAUACUGCCUCCGUAAGGAGGAGGAAGGUGGGGACGACGUCAAGUCAUCAUGGCCCUUACGCCUAGGGCUACACACGUGCUACAAUGGGGUGCACAAAGAGAAGCAAUACUGCGAAGUGGAGCCAAUCUUCAAAACACCUCUCAGUUCGGAUUGUAGGCUGCAACUCGCCUGCAUGAAGCUGGAAUCGCUAGUAAUCGCAAAUCAGCCAUGUUGCGGUGAAUACGUUCCCGGGUCUUGUACUCACCGCCCGUCACACCAUGGGAGUUGUGUUUGCCUUAAGUCAGGAUGCUAAAUUGGCUACUGCCCACGGCACACACAGCGACUGGGGUGAAGUCGUAACAAGGUAACCGUAGGUGAACCUGCGGUUGGAUCACC